GGAGGGUCGGAAUCAGGUAUGACUUGUGUUUGUUCUGGGACUGGUCGGUCAAUAACCUUUCCACUUUGCAAAGUUAUUAUACUCUUCGCUUGUUCUUUAUGCAAAGUUGAAGAUGAUGCAUUGCUACCGCCAUAGACUUGAGGAUUAGGUUGUGGUUGAGCUGGUAGCUUACCUUUCUCUUGAGCACUUAAAGCAGUGGUCAGUGUUGUCAGUUGAUUUCUUAAUUCAUCAUUGAUUUUAGCUUGACCUUGCAUGAAAGAUUGCAAAGUUUCUUCGAGACUGGAUUUUUGAGGGGGUGCGUGUGCAUAAUGAGGUUGCGGAGGUGGAGGAGUUGGGUUAUAUACUUGUUGAGAUUGGUCAUUCCUCCACCU
rnacentral:lncRNA from 1 species